rnacentral:rRNA from 1 species
UACGGGGGGGGCAAGCGUUGUUCGGAAUUACUGGGCGUAAAGGGCUCGUAGGCGGCCAACUAAGUCAGACGUGAAAUCCCUCGGCUUAACCGGGGAACUGCGUCUGAUACUGGAUGGCUUGCGUUUGGGAGAGGGAUGCGGAAUUCCAGGUGUAGCGGUGAAAUGCGUAGAUAUCUGGAGGAACACCGGUGGCGAAGGCGGCAUCCUGGACCAACACUGACGCUGAGUGAGCGAAAGCCAGGGGAGCAAACGGG